rnacentral:rRNA from 1 species
ACAAGCAGCGGUAGCGUGUUGGUUUAAUUCGUUUGCUACACGAAGAACCUUUACCUGGGUUUGACAUAUAGUUGUAGGGAACUGAAAAGGGACCGACCCUUCGGGAGCUUAUACAGGUGUUGCAUGGCUGUCGUCAGCUCGUGUCGUGAGAUGUUCGGUUAAGUCCGCUAACGAGCGCAACCCUCGUCGUAUGUUAUAUGUGUCAUACGAGACUGCCGGUAAAAGCCGGAGGAAGGUGAGGAUGAUGUCAAGUCAGCAUGACCUUUAUAUCCAGGGCUACACACACGCUACAAUGGUCUGUACAAUGGGUAGCCAAGCCGCGAGGCGGAGCCAAUCCUGAAAGCAGGCCUCAGUUCAGAUUGCAGUCUGCAACUCGACUGCAUGAAGCCGGAGUUGCUAGUAACCGCAGGUCAGCAAUACUGCGGUGAAUACGUUCCCGGGUCUU